rnacentral:misc_RNA from 1 species
GAAAUGCGAUACGUAGUGUGAAUUGCAGAAUCCAGUGAAUCAUCGAAUCUUUGAACGCACAUUGCGCCCUUGGGUAUUCCUGGGGGCAUGCCUGUUUGAGAACCUUGACGUACCUCACACCCCACCCUGGUGUUUUUGUUUUUUAGCUUCGGCGAAAUCAAUCCUCUCAGGUGUGGGAUCGUGGAUCUGGGUCCCUUCUUUUUCGCAAGGAAAAGAGACCUUAAAUGAAAUGUCGACCGCAUUCUUCAGCUUGGCUGGGUUUUGCUUGAGGCACAUCAAGGUUCUCAAACAGGCAGUUUGACCCUUUUGGUGAUGACUGAAGACCUGAACACCUGGUCUCAAAUCAGACAAGAAUACCCGCUGAACUUAA